GAUGAACGCUAGCGGGAGGCUUAACACAUGCAAGUCGAGGGGCAGCACGAGGUAGCAAUACUUUGGUGGCGACCGGCGCACGGGUGAGUAACGCGUAUGUAACCUACCCUGUACUGGGGGAUAACCCGGAGACAUUCGGACUAAUACCCCAUAAUUAUAUGUAGAGGCAUCUCUGAAUAUUUAAAGUUUCGACGGUUCGGUCUGGGCAUGCGUAAGAUUAGCUAGUUGGUAGGGUAACGGCCUACCAAGGCUACGAUCUUUAGGGGUCCUGAGAGGGUGAUCCCCCACACUGGUACUGAGACACGGACCAGACUCCUACGGGAGGCAGCAGUGAGGAAUAUUGGUCAAUGGGCGCAAGCCUGAACCAGCCAUCCCGCGUGAAGGAAGAAGGCGCUAUGCGUUGUAAACUUCUUUUCCAGAAGAAUAAUAUUUUGUACGUGUACAGAAUUGAAGGUAUUCUGGGAAUAAGCAUCGGCUAACUCCGUGCCAGCAGCCGCCGCAGUAA
rnacentral:rRNA from 1 species